rnacentral:rRNA from 1 species
AUACGGAGGGUGCAAGCGUUACUCGGAAUCACUGGGCGUAAAGCGCGCGCAGGCGGUCUUUUAAGUUGGAUGUGAAAGCCUACGGCUCAACCGUAGAACUGCGUCCAAAACUAUUAGACUAGAGUGUGGGAGAGGAAGAUGGAAUUAGUUGUGUAGGGGUAAAAUCCGUAGAGAUAACUAGGAAUACCAAAAGCGAAGGCAAUCUUCUGGAACACUACUGACGCUGAGGCGCGAAAGCGUGGGGAGCAAACAGGAUUAGAAACCCUAGUAGUCC